rnacentral:rRNA from 1 species
UACGUAGGGUGCAAGCGUUAAUCGGAAUUACUGGUCGUAAAGCUUGCGCAAGCGGUUGGUUAAGUCAGAUGUGAAAGCCCCGGGCUCAACCUGGGAAUUGCAUUUGAAACUGGCCAACUAGAGUAUGUGAGAGGGGGGUAGAAUUCCAAGUGUAGCGGUGAAAUGCGUAGAGAUUUGGAGGAAUACCAGUGGCGAAGGCGGCCCCCUGGCACAAUACUGACGCUCAGGUGCGAAAGCGUGGGGAGCAAACAGG